UGAUUCUAUGUUUAUUUGUCUCUCCUACGCCUAUGCCUGCAAUCAGAGUGCUUCUUCGUCGGCUGCGUUGAGCGGUUCGAUUGUCUGAGAUCUCUUGGAUUAUCUCAAUGAGUCCUGGACUCAGUUUCAUGCUGCAGGUAACUGCAAUCAGAAAAUCUUCUAUUAUCCUCUGAUUCACAUCAGCAGCACCGAAUACACUAAUGCAGGGAGAGUGCAGUGGAUGGAUUGAUCUAUCUGUGCUACUUUGGAUCUCGUAUUAAAUCUGUUAACUCUAUUGGUCGGGUGGGUUCAGAUUCCUUAUAAGUUGCUAGUGCACCAACCAUGUUUCAGGCCAUGAGACGCAUCAGUGAUUCCUUAGCUGAUAAGUAUGUGGGGGAGAAUGCUUUUGAGUAUGCAAUACGGAAAUCAUUCCUUGUUUCCGCAGACAUGGCUCACGGAGUUCACCCAAAUUUCAAGGAAAAGCAUGAUGAACACCAUCGACCUGAAAUGCAGAAGGGGCUAGUAACUAAGCACAAUGCCAAUCAGCGCUAUGCCACAAGGCCCGCAAGUGGAAUUACUGCUAUUCUUUUCAAAGAAGUGGGCAAAAUCCAUAAUUUGCCAGCACAGAUAGCACUGAGAGAUGUAUCUUGAAACUAAGCUUCCGUUAUAGUUGGAUCGAGGAACUCUCUCUCAGUUUAGGCCCUUGGGAUGUUAAGCGAUCGUCAUAUCCAAAACUGACGUUAUUCUGGCCAUUUGCGUAGCCAAGAACCACUAUUCCUUCUAUAUGAUAGUAUUAAUAAUCUAUGACAGUUAGAUCAGCUUUCAGCGGUUAA